AUAGGUUAAGUUAAUAAGGGCGCAUGGUGGAUGCCUUGGCACUAGAAGGCGAUGAAGGACGUGACUAACUACGAUAUGCCUCGGUUAGCUGUAAGUAAGCUUACCCGGGGGUUUCCGAAUGGGGCAACCCGAUCUUAAUGAUCAUCAUCUUUUUGAAUUCAUAGAUUAGAUGAAGCAAACGCUGUGAACUGAAACAUCUCAGUAGCAGUAGGAAAGUAAAGAAAUUUCGAUUCCGUCAGUAGCGGCGAGCGAACGCGGAAGAGCCCAAACCUGGAUGCUUGCAUCCAGGGGUUGUAGGACUGAUGUUGAGUUACAAAGGUAUAAGAUAGCAGAAACAGUUGGGAAGCUGUUCCAAAGAGGGUGACAGGCCCGUAUGCGAAAUCUUGUACUCUCUAAUC
rnacentral:rRNA from 1 species